UUUGUCGUUGCUAUGGUAAUCCUGCUUAGUACGAGAGGAACCGCAGGUUCAGACAUUUGGUUUAUGUGCUUGGUCGAAAGACCAAUGGUGCGAAGCUACCAUCUGAGGGAUUAAGACUGAAAGCCUCUUAAGUCUGAAUCCCGCCCAGAAAUGCAACGAUACUAUCGGUGCCCCUACGCCGGGAGGCAACGAUAUACUCGGCCCGAAAUCCGAUUUCGGCGGCCGAGACUGGCUAAAGCCACUGCGAUACUGGCCACACCCGCUGUCUUGAAAUUUGGCAGUGGAGGCACAGACACGAUACCACUUGAUUGAGACGUAGGGGUUCUAUAUCGUUUGUAGACGACUUAGAUCUCGGUCGGGGUGCCGUACUUAGUUGAGCAGUUCUUCACUGCGAUCUAUUGAGGCUAAGCCUUUUGACGGGGAGAUAUGU
rnacentral:ncRNA from 1 species